rnacentral:rRNA from 1 species
GAUGAACGCUGGCGGCGUGCCUAAUACAUGCAAGUCGAGCGAACAGACGAGGAGCUUGCUCCUCUGACGUUAGCGGCGGACGGGUGAGUAACACGUAGAUAACCUACCUAUAAGACUGGGAUAACUUCGGGAAACCGGAGCUAACACCGGAUAACAUGUUGAACCGCAUGGUUCAACAGUGAAAGCCGGACUUGCUGUCACUUAUAGAUGGAUCCGCGCCGCAUUAGCUAGUUGGUAAGGUAACGGCUUACCAAGGCAACGAUGCGUAGCCGACCUGAGAGGGUGAUCAGCCACACUGGAACUGAGACACGGUCCAGACUCCUACGGGAGGCAGCAGUAGGGAAUCUUCCGCAAUGGGCGAAAGCCUGACGGAGCAACGCCGCGUGAGUGAAGAAGGUCUUCGGAUCGUAAAACUCUGUUAUUAGGGAAGAACAAAUGUGUAAGUAACUAUGCACGUCUUGACGGUACCUAAUCAGAAAGCCACGGCUAACUACGUG